rnacentral:rRNA from 1 species
GACGAACGCUGGCGGCGUGCCUAAUACAUGCAAGUCGAACGCUGAAGGAGGAGCUUGCUCUUCUGGAUGAGUUGCGAACGGGUGAGUAACGCGUAGGUAACCUGCCUGGUAGCGGGGGAUAACUAUUGGAAACGAUAGCUAAUACCGCAUAAGAGUAGAUGUUGCAUGACAUUUGCUUAAAAGGUGCAAUUGCAUCACUACCAGAUGGACCUGCGUUGUAUUAGCUAGUUGGUGGGGUAACGGCUCACCAAGGCGACGAUACAUAGCCGACCUGAGAGGGUGAUCGGCCACACUGGGACUGAGACACGGCCCAGACUCCUACGGGAGGCAGCAGUAGGGAAUCUUCGGCAAUGGACGGAAGUCUGACCGAGCAACGCCGCGUGAGGGAAGAAGGUUUUCGGAUCGUAAAGCUCUGUUGUAAGAGAAGAACGAGUGUGAGAGUGGAAAGUUCACACUGUGACGGUAUCUUACCAGAAAGGGACGGCUAACUACGUG